CCUACGGGAUGCAGCAGUGAGGAAUAUUGGUCAAUGGGCGGAAGCCUGAACCAGCCAAGUCGCGUGAGGGAAUAAGGCCCUACGGGUCGUAAACCUCUUUUGCCGGGGAGCAAGGCCCGGGACGCGUCCCGGCCCGGAGAGUACCCGGAGCAAAAGCAUCGUCUAACUCCUUGCCAGCAGCCGCGGGAAUACGGAGGAUGCGAGCGUGCUCCGGAUUUAUUGGGUUUAAAGGGUGCGUAGGCGGGCUUUAAAGUCAGCGGUAAAAAUUCGGGGCUCAACCCCGUCCGGCCGUUGAAACUGGGGGCCUUGAGUGGGCGAGAAGAAGGCGGAAUGCGUGGUGUAGCGGUGAAAUGCAUAGAUAGCACGCAGAACCCCGAUUGCGAAGGCAGCCUUCCGGCGCCCGACUGACGCUGAGGCACGAAAGUGCGGGGAUCGAACAGGAUUAGAUACCCGUGUAGUC
rnacentral:rRNA from 1 species